rnacentral:lncRNA from 1 species
GGGAGGGUAGGGAGGCUAGUGAGGGGAGAUGCUGGAGUAGCUUCAUACCUAGGGUAUUAGGACAAAGGCUUCCGCACUGAAGGUACUGACACUGCCUGGCUGCCUAUGGCCCCUAGAUACACAUGACUUCUGGUGGAGACAUGGAAAACUUGCAUCCCGAGGAAAAGUACUGCUCCCGGCUGAGAUGAGAUGUCCAAGUUCUCAGGGUGAAAAUGUUGAGGUCUGGAGCAUGCUGGGAGAUCAAAACAGGAUCAAUAGACCUUGCA